CUUAUUACUCUGAAGUUGCAUCAUUGCAUCUAAUACUUGUUGUUGUGUGAGAGGGGUGUCACACAUCAACCGCUCUUCCUCCGUUAUAGAGUUUGUAAAAUCAACACAUUAAACAGUCUAUCCAUUGCAUCUUUGUCAGACUUUGUUUUAUAAAGAGAGCAAAACUCAGAAAUACUGCUCUUACUUUCAGUCACAACUCCAUCAAUGUUCAGUUGAGACAUGGCAUUGUACUUAGCAUGAGUUUUUUCCACUUUAACCCUUUAAGCUGCGGUCAAUUUUCCCCUGAAAUUUCUCCUGAAGAUGUACAGAAAGUAAAUUGAAUGCUGUUCUUGAACUGUUUGGAGUACAGGCAUGGCUGGGGUCUCCUUUGAAAGCUGACAACCUGCAUUGUCACCCAGUGCAGUAAAAAUUACUCUAGGUGCUACUGACACAGAGUUAUUUAUGUUGGAACACACUGAAUUAGGAAGAAUUUUAUUCGCGCCUAAAUUUUUUCCCUAAUAAAACACCUGAAAAUUAGUGUGGCAGCACUGUGACAGCUUGAAACACAACAUGGCAACAGCCUGGGGUCUUACAUAGUUCAGGACAAAAUUUCAGAGCAAAACUACAAGAAAUGAGUGAUUCACACAUGUUUUUGUACUAAUAUGCCCAAUUAUGUCAAUUUUGGACACCCUAUGUACACCCUGUGAAAAAAUGGUAUAUGGUCGUUUAUUGGCCCUUUUUCACACUAUUUUCACUCCAAAAACUCAUAAAGAACUAAAAAAAAUCACUUCAGAUAAGCUUCAGUGCGGAUCUUGAUCUGAAUCAGAGGCUCAGACGGAGACAGAGAAAAGCAGCUGCAGCAGGAGAGCCGGAGGUGUGAAAACUCACACAGAGCCGCUAAAACCCGCCUCUCGGCUAUUCAGCAAGCUCAUUGGCUACAUGCCCUGUCAGUCAAACGUUUCCUCCGGCGUCAUUUUGCUCAGAAUUUAGUGGAGAGAUGAGAGUCACCAGAUCCAUCGGUCUCGGCAAUGGCUGGCUGUUCCGGGUUCGGAGGCAGCGAUGAGUCACUUGAUUGGUUGAAAUGCGGUUGGGAUCGAAAGCAGAGGCUUCAGUCGCCGUUUUCUGACCGAGAUCGUGAGGAUUACAGAAAGCUUCAUAAAAUUAUGGAUAAAAAUGCAGUGAAUUAUGGAACGCGCAGCGCCACGUGGACGCGCACGGAGCCGAGCUAUUUGUGGAUUAUUUACUUAUUUCUAGACAUGUUUUGGACAAAAUAUGAUACUUGCUGGUAUUGUCUGGAUGACUACUCUUGGAUUAUGGCCGGUUUUUGUGGAUUAUUUUCAUCGUUGACCGGUAAAAGACCAUCGAAACGGUGACGCCUGCUGGAGUCCCAUGGUUGACACCAGGUCUGAGGAAGUAUUCCUGUCAACUCACAGUCGACACAAACACAGUAAACAGAAACCUCAGACUGUCUGACAACAACAGGAAGGUGACACAUGUGGGGGGGGAUCAGA